AAGCUUCUGGUGGAAUGCAAACUCAAGCCCCCAUUCUGGCAGCAAAUACCAGGCACUCACAUUAAAAGAAGAAAAAGAGCAGCGGGUGGCUUUGAAAGCCAUCUGCAGUGAAGGAUCCCUUAGCAAAGCUGUCCCUCAACACCUCCAUGCCAGUGCUUCUUCACAUUAAGACUCCAAGAAUGACCGUUUCCCGCGGGAAAGAGAGCAGCCGAACGCCAAACAUCAGCACAAACAGAAGGUGUUGGAGAGACUCCUUAGGAUCCGGAGACGGGCGGUGAAAUAUCUAAGAGGGCCUCUGAGGUAGCUGGUUAAAAUGCAGCCGCUGCACAGCCAAAGCCGGAACUGUCAGGGAACUGAAGCCCCCUGGCCCUGAACCAAAUCCCGGCACAGGAAAGCCAGGCUGUUUCUUACAGGAAACCCCAUCCAGCGAAUGCCCACUGCUGCCAGUGCCUGUGCGCACCCCGGAGACGCAUCAGACAACCAGCAAAACCAGGCCCAUUGGACUUCACAGAUCUCUCCUGGUGCAGCCGGUUCGGAACCUUGUGGAGUUGGCUGCCUGCCCGAGAAACACAUGUGCAAUCCCACCCUUCCUCAACCA
rnacentral:lncRNA from 1 species